rnacentral:misc_RNA from 1 species
ACAAGUAUAAUCUUGUUAAUGUUUCAUUUUGGACUGAACCAGCUAUGGUUUUCACUAUCUACUAUCACUUGGACCUCCUCAAGAUUAAUGGUCAUUAUGCUUCCCAUGAUAAUCGAGAGGACGCCAUAGAUUAUAUACCAGGAGUGGAUAGUAUAGAGCCCAAGGACUUACCCUCAUAUCUUCAAGCUCCAAAUACAAUAGGUGUGGCGGUGAGGAUGAUCUACAAGGCAAUAUUUGAGGAUGUGAAAGAAGCAGAUUUUGUUCUUUGCAACACAGUACAAGAACUUGAACCCAAAACCAUCUCAGCCCUUCAAGAGAAACAACCAUUCUAUCCUAUCGGACCAACCUUCCUCCUGAAUGGGUUCACGAAGACCACUGUGGCUACUAGCCUGUGGUCUCACUCAGACUGCACCCAGUGGCUCCAAUCCAAGCCUCGUGGUUCAGUUUUGUAUGUCUCAUUUGGCUCCCUUGCCUUUUGCAGCAAGGAGGAUCUUGCAGAAUUAGCCCAUGGGCUCUUGCUUAGUGAAGUGAGUUUUAUUUGGGUACUUCGUCCAGGUAUUUUAGGUUCUGAUGAUACUCAUUUUCUACCCGUUGGAUUUGAAGAUGAGAUCAAAGAUAGAGGAUUGGUUGUGCCAUGGUGCUGCCAAAUUUCAGUUAUUUCACAUCCAAAGAUUGGAGGUUUUCUAACACAUUGUGGGUGGAACUCUAUAUUGGAGUCUAUAUCGUUUAACGUCCCAAUGUUGUGUUAUCCUCUGUUUACUGAUCAAAUUACUAAUAGAAAGUUAGUGGUUGAUGAUUGGAAGAUUGGGCUCAAUCUUUGUGAUAGGAAGCCAAUCAGAAGAGAUGAAAUCGCAGAAAAUAUCAACCGUUUGAUGAGUGGAAAAUCAGCCAAUGACUUGAAAAAGAAUAUGGAGAAAAUUAAAGAGAAGGUAGAGAAUGCAGUAUCCAGCGCUGGAUCGUCAGAAAAAAAUGUCAAGCAGUUUAUUGGUGAUCUUAAGGUCAAAAUUUCCCAAGUGGGAAGAUGAAGAUCCAUGAAUCAAAAUAGACUUGCACAAAGGAAUACAAUGUGUGAGUGUUUUCCACUUCAACUAAAGAAUAAAUCCAUCUGUAGAAGUAGCCAUUUUGUAGAAUUCUAUGGAAGUCUUCGGUUUUUGACUUCAAACUCUACGGUUGGUGAGAUUACUAUUAUGCUUCUAUUUGGACGGCAAGCCUCGCUAUUGUAUUCCUUUGUGCAAGUCUAUUUUG